GGAAUGAACGCUGGCGGCGUGCUUUACACAUGCAAGUCGAGCGAGGCGGGGAGCAAUCCCCAGUCGAGCGGCGAACGGGUGAGUAACGCGUGGAUGACCUGCCCUUCAGCGGGGGAAUAACCCGGGGGAAACUCGGGCUAAUACCGCAUACGACCGAGAGGUGAAAGGGGGGCCGCAAGGCUCUCACUGAAGGAGGGGUCCGCGUCCGAUUAGCUAGUUGGUAGGGUAAUGGCCUACCAAGGCGACGAUCGGUAGCCGGCCUGAGAGGGUGAUCGGCCACACUGGAACUGAGACACGGUCCAGACUCCUACGGGAGGCAGCAGUGGGGAAUUUGCGCAAUGGGCGGAAGCCUGACGCAGCAACGCCGCGUGGAGGAUGAAGGUCUUUGGAUUGUAAACUCCUGUCAGCAGGAAAAGCGACUGGACCUCAUACGUCUGGGAGUUGAUUGUACCUGCAGAGGAACGCCCCGGACUAACCGUCUCGUCGCCGUAGCCAGCCGACGGUAAUCUAGGACG
rnacentral:rRNA from 1 species